rnacentral:rRNA from 1 species
GGGGGGGGGUGGGGGGGGGCGGGAGGCGGGCGGGUCGGGCGGACAGACGAUGGGGUGGCUGCGCUGACGUGAGCGGCGGGGGGGCGAGUAACACGUGGAUAACCUACCUGUAAGGCGGGGAGAACUGCGGGACACCGGAGCCAAUCCCGGGUAAGAUCAUGCACCGGCGGUUUCAUUUGUAAAAGACGGGUUUGCUGUAACUUAUAGAGGCUUCCGCGCCGCCUGAGCUCGUUGGUAAUGUAAAGGGUUACCAAGGCCAACAGGCGGAGCCGACCUGAGAGGGUGAUCGGCCACACUGGAACUGAGACGCGGUCCAGACUCCUGCGGGAGGCAGCAGUAGGGAAUCUGACGCAAUGGGCGAAAGCCUGACGGAGCAACGCCGCGUGAGUGAUGAAGGUCUUCGGAUCGGAAAACUCUGUUAUUAGGGAAGAACAACUUUGUAAGGAAAUAUGACCGUAUUGACGGUACUUAAUCAGAAAGCCACGGCUAACUACGUG